GAUGAACGCUGGCGGCGUGCCUAAUACAUGCAAGUCGAGCGAACAGAUGAGGAGCUUGUUCCUUUGACGUUAGCGGCGGACGGGUGAGUAACACGUGGAUAACCUACCUAUAAGACUGGGAUAACUUCGGGAAACCGGAGCUAAUACCGGAUAAUAUAUUGAACCGCAUGGUUCAAUAGUGAAAGACGGUUUUGCUGUCACUUAUAGAUGGAUCCGCGCCGCAUUAGCUAGUUGGUAAGGUAACGGCUUACCAAGGCAACGAUGCGUAGCCGACCUGAGAGGGUGGUCGGCCACACUAGAACUGAGACGCGGUCCAGACUCCUACGGGAGGCAGCAGUAGGGAAUCUUCCGCAAUGGGCGAGAGCCUGACGGAACAACGCCACGUGAGUGAUGAAGGUCUUCGGAUCGUAAAACUCUGUUAUUAGGGAAGAACAAAUGUGUAAGUAACUAUGCACGUCUUGACGGUACCUAAUCAGAAAGCCACGGCUAACUACGUG
rnacentral:rRNA from 1 species